rnacentral:misc_RNA from 1 species
AAGUCGUAACAAGGUUGGACAGCAACAUUAAUGUUUCCUUUCCUUUCUUUCGUGCCAAGUCAUCGUCAUAUGAUGGAAGCGGAGAAAACUGGUUCAUGUGCUGCCUUCGCUGAGUCUGCCUUCGCGGCGGAUAGCUUUGGAUAUCACGAUGAAUUCGUGCACACACUUAUUUCACCCUAUUUUGCUAGUUGACUUUUAUAUGUAUCGUUUGCUUCGGCAUGUGGUACACGUUUAAAUUAUUUGAACGUUAAAAAUACAACUCUUAGCAAUGGAUAUCUUGGUUCUC